rnacentral:rRNA from 1 species
CAGUAGCCGCGGUAAUACGUAGGUGGCAAGCGUUGUCCGGAAUUAUUGGGCGUAAAGGGCUCGCAGGCGGUUUCUUAAGUCUGAUGUGAAAGCCCCCGGCUCAACCGGGGAGGGUCAUUGGAAACUGGGAAACUUGAGUGCAGAAGAGGAGAGUGGAAUUCCACGUGUAGCGGUGAAAUGCGUAGAGAUGUGGAGGAACACCAGUGGCGAAGGCGACUCUUUGGUCUGUAACUGACGCUGAGGAGCGAAAGCGUGGGGAGCGAACAGGAUUAGAUACCCGAGUAGUCCCUGUCUCUUAUAC